rnacentral:rRNA from 1 species
UACAGAGGUCUCGAGCGUUAGGCGGAAUCACUGGGCUUAAAGCGUGUGUAGGCGGAUUGGUAAGUACUUUGUGAAAUCCCACGGCUUAACCGUGGAACUGCUUGGUAUACUGCCAGUCUUGAGCCAGCUAGGGGCUACCGGAACAAAUGGUGGAGCGGUGAAAUGCGUAGAUAUCAUUUGGAACGCCAAUGGUGAAAACAGGUAGCUGGGGCUGUGCUGACGCUGAGACACGAAAGCCAGGGGAGCAAACGGGG